rnacentral:rRNA from 1 species
UACGAAGGGUGCAAGCGUUAAUCGGAAUUACUGGGCGUAAAGCGUGCGUAGGUGGUUGUUCAAGUCUGUCGUGAAAGACCCUGGGCUCAACCUGGGAAUUGCGAUGGAAACUGGAUGGCUAGAGUGUGGUAGAGGAUGGCGGAAUUCCCGGUGUAGCGGUGAAAUGCGUAGAGAUCGGGAGGAACAUCCGUGGCGAAGGCGGCCAUCUGGACCAACACUGACACUGAGGCACGAAAGCGUGGGGAGCAAACAGGAUUAGAUACCCGGGUAGU